AGUGAACGCUGGCGGUAGGCCUAACACAUGCAAGUCGAACGGCAGCACAGUAAGAGCUUGCUCUUACGGGUGGCGAGUGGCGGACGGGUGAGGAAUACAUCGGAAUCUACUUUUUCGUGGGGGAUAACGUAGGGAAACUUACGCUAAUACCGCAUACGACCUACGGGUGAAAGCAGGGGAUCUUCGGACCUUGCGCGAUUGAAUGAGCCGAAGUCGGAUUAGCUAGUUGGCGGGGUAAAGGCCCACCAAGGCGACGAUCCGUAGCUGGUCUGAGAGGAUGAUCAGCCACACUGGAACUGAGACACGGUCCAGACUCCUACGGGAGGCAGCAGUGGGGAAUAUUGGACAAUGGGCGCAAACCUGAUCCAGCCAUACCGCGUGGGUGAAGAAGGCCUUCGGGUUGUAAAGCCCUUUUGUUGGGAAAGAAAAGCAGCAGGUUAAUACCCCGCUGUUCUGACGGUACCCAAAGAAUAAGCACCGGCUAACUUCGUG
rnacentral:rRNA from 1 species